UACGUAGGGGGCAAGCGUUGUCCGGAUUUAUUGGGCGUAAAGAGCGUGUAGGCGGCUAGGUAGGUCCGUUGUGAAAACUCGAGGCUCAACCUCGAGACGUCGAUGGAAACCAUCUGGCUAGAGUCCGGAAGAGGAGAGUGGAAUUCCUGGUGUAGCGGUGAAAUGCGCAGAUAUCGGGAAGAACACCCGUGGCUAAGGCGGCUCUCUAGUACGGUACUGACGCUGAGACGCGAAAGCGUGGGGAGCGAACAGG
rnacentral:rRNA from 1 species